AUAUUAACACUCUCCUCCUCUCACUCCAGCGGCAGCCUCCACGGCUUUUCCUUCUCCCCACCAUUACUCCUCCAACUUCCUACUCUCGAGAAGUAUAAUCGAGGCUGUUAAACAUGAUAAUCAAAUAGCCCUCCUCUAUCUCCGAUUUUUUAAGAGGUAAAACAAUUGUAGAUGUUUCUGACGAGGACAGAGUAUGAUGGAUCUGUUGCUUGUAGUAACUGGGCUAAAGUUUAUUAUUCUGAGUUGAUUAAUUCUAUUCUUGAUGCCUAUAGAAAAGAAGCUGAAAACAAUAAUCUAUAUGGCUUAACUAAUUCAAGAGGUUCUGUUUUCUUCUUCUUGAGUAUGACUGUAGAAUCCCAUUUGGAUCAUUCCAUCACCUGGCAUGGUUCUUUAGUAUUUGAGUUGCAAGCUGAUGGGUAUUGCUGUCUUUCUUUAUUUCUUUAUUGCACAUAUCAUUUAGUAGCAAUAAUUGUUGAAGUAAUAGUGGUUAUUUUGCUUUAAUCUCUGAGGUUUUUGAUGAAUUUUAGUGUUUGGCAAAUUACCUCAAUAAAUACUUAUAAGUGGUUGUUUAUAUAACUGUUAUGUUUCGAUCUCUUUGAUGUAGUUGUACUUUGCGGGUGUUGGAGAUGGUGGAGUUGUGAUUUGUAAUAGUAAGGAGCAGGUAAUGGUGAUGGUGGUUGUAAUGAUUUUUUGUAGCAUGGAGUGGGUACUGGAGAUGGUGGUGGUUGUGAUUUGUAGGAAUUUGGGGUUUGUACGUAUGGGUUGGUACGAUAAUAUGGACAGUAGUUCCACUGGAGACGGUUGUUUCUUGAUGGACAAUACGUGUUGGCGUAUGAGUGGUGUUUGGUUAUUGUGUGCUGGUUGGCUCUCCAUGGCGAACGGCAAUCCCGAUUACCUCUUCAGUCCCGUCCCAUGUUUUCCUUCGGGAAACACCUGUUUGGUUCCUCUGUUGUCUGCCUAUCGAGAACUAUCAAUUUUGUCCCUCGCUUCUAUUGCCUCUCGCCUGCUCUUGGGUGGCGCGAGAUGGUUAGUGCGAUAACUCUGAUAAUUGUUUUAUAUAUCAAUUGUUUGUGCGCACCGUUAUACCAGGUAAUGUUAAAUUGAAGCAUGAAGUCUUCUUGUGGUUUUGUGUAAAUUGGUAGAGCGUUUGUGGUUAUACCAGACAGUUUGGUAUUAUUUUGGUGAAACUGUACUUUGUGAACAUGAUGCACGGAACUGAUAACGAGGAUAUCAAAUUGUCACUACCGAUGAGGCAUAUUAUUGUUAUUUGGGUGAAUUUUAUAGGAGUCCUUUAAGUCCAUGUCCCCAGAGUCAGUACUGUUCUUCUGUAUUUGGCAACUCAUAUUUUCAUUUGUUUGUUGUGUUCAUGUUCUUAAACCUAAUAUUGUUAGUACAUUUGAUAGGUUUGCUUUCACUUUGUAUAAAGUUAUGGUAGAUUCUCAUGCUUCGUUUAGUGGUAACAAUGUCUAUGGAGUUUCUGCUAGCAGAUUUGGAGAGCCUGAUGAUUGUAUUUAUAAGAACGGAGAUUUGAAGAAUGCUUUUUGUUGUAGCCUAACAAUCAGUUGUUGUGCUCCAAAAAGCAUAAAUGUAAUAAACAUUCCUACUCCAACAUGAUUGUAUGAAGGCUCUUCUAUUGCAUAUGCACCUCGUCUUAUAAGUCUGUGAAAUUGGCGAUAUAAGAUGGUUUGUUUUUCGUGGGGUUUCACUGUUGCAACUUUAAUUGGUGACCAUAGGGACUCGGGAUUCUAUGGAGGAUGUUUAGUGUAACUUCAGUUAAAUUCACUGCUUCCGGUUGAAAAUGAUGAUUGUUGUGUAGUAUGCUAGGAUUUCUGUACUUAGAUGCUCAUAAUGUUUAUGUUCGGUUGGUAAUCAUUCUUGGCAUCAUAGAGGAGUUCAAGUACAGACUAAGAUGGAUUCAGUGGUAAUCAUUCUUGGUAAUCAUUCUAGAAAUCAACUUCCAAAUGGGAUUCAGUGGCUAACUUAUAAUGGUGACUGGAUCUUAAACUAAGAUGUGUGUGCUGAACACGAAAGAAAUUCAAGACAAGGAGCAACUGUUGCAGUUAUUAUGGCUUUCCUCUGAUCUGUCGGAUGAAGAAGGCAUUGUUUCAUUUGUCUUUCAUGCAAGCAGCUCCAAGGUUUGUUAUGAAGAAAUUUUAAUGGUUGAAUACAGAUCAUCAACAUGAUUAGGCAGUCUUUUAUUUGUCUGGAGCUGAUAACGUCGGCCUUGCUAAUCCUCACAUGAUUAGUGAUGCUGUUAAUAUUCUUCUAGCUCAACCAGCUAACUAUGCCGAGCCAGGGAAUGAGGUGGUGAUUUCUGCCUCCAUAUUGUUUCAGCAACCAAAUUCCAUUUGUUUUUUCCUGGCAAAUUUCAACAAGAUGUGGAAUUAUGUUCAGUCUACUCGCAAGCAUGAUAUGGUUCUGAAUUAUGAAGUUAGAUGAGUUGAUUGAUUUGAAGUCUGGUUGGAAUGAAUUGAUGCUAAAUAGUAAAAUGCAUAAGAAAAAUGGUCCAAAUCUGUUGGAGUUAAUAGCUGCUUUUAUAACUGUUACAGGUUUUAUGUAAACAAUUUUGAACGUUCUUAAUUUGCAUAAUUAUGUUUGGUAUUA